AGCAGCCGCGGUAACACCGGCGGCCCGAGUGGUGAUCGUGAUUAUUGGGUCUAAGGGGUCCGUAGCCGGUUUGGUCAGUCCUCCGGGAAAUCUGAUAGCUCAACUAUUAGGCUUUCGGGGGAUACUGCCAGACUUGGAACCGGGAGAGGUAAGAGGUACUACAGGGGUAGGAGUGAAAUCUUGUAAUCCCUGUGGGACCACCUGUGGCGAAGGCGUCUUACCAGAACGGGUUCGACGGUGAGGGACGAAAGCUGGGGGCACGAACCGGAUUAGAUACCCGGGUAGUCCCAGCCGUAAACGAUGCUCGCUAGGUGUCAGGCAUGGCGCGACCGUGUCUGGUGCCGCAGGGAAGCCGUGAAGCGAGCCACCUGGGAAGUACGGCCGCAAGGCUGAAACUUAAAGGAAUUGGCGGGGGAGCACAACAACGGGUGGAGCCUGCGGUUUAAUUGGACUCAACGCCGGACAACUCACCGGGGGCGACAGCAAUAUGUAGGCCAAGCUGAAGACUUUGCCUGAAUCGCUGAGAAGAGGUGCAUGG
rnacentral:rRNA from 1 species